AUUAUGGGCCGCCCGCGCGCCCGUCCCGUCGCCUCCGCUGCCGCAGCCCCCUCGGCCUUGCUAUGUCGAGCUCACCCGUGAAGCGUCAGAGGAUGGAGUCCGCGCUGGACCAGCUCAAGCAGUUCACCACCGUGGUGGCCGACACGGGCGACUUCCACGCCAUCGACGAGUACAAGCCCCAGGAUGCUACCACCAACCCGUCCCUGAUCCUGGCCGCAGCACAGAUGCCCGCUUACCAGGAGCUGGUGGAGGAGGCCAUCGCCUAUGGCCGGCAGCUGGGCGGGUGAGUGCCUGGACUCGGGAGGGUCCCAGCUAGGCCCUCGUGCUGGUCUAGUUGGCCUUGCCUCCCUCCCUAACUGAAUUUUAGUUCUCAAACACCAUGAACUCAAGGGAAAACAAAACCCUAUCUUUUUGCCUAUUUUUGUUUAUUGAAGUGUAAUCUGCAUGAAGUAAUCUGCACCCGUGGUAAAUGAGCGGUUCAGAGAGUCUUGCCAAUGUGUGUACCCUGUAAACACCACCCCAGUCAAGAUGCAGAGCACUUGCAGACCCCCAGAGGCCCCUCCU
rnacentral:sRNA from 1 species